ACGUCGCAUCAUUCAACUUCAAAGACGGUUCUUCUGGAGAAAGAAAGCGGGCGAAAAGGGCGGUAAUCUGAUCCGUUGGGAAAUUAUUCAGAGACAUCUGGAUAAAGGAGGACUAGGGGUUGGAGACAUAUUCAUAAAGAAUGCAUCACUGCUCUUUAAAUGGUGGUGGAGAUUUGCAGAUGACCAGAAACCACUUUGGAAAGAAAUUGGCAAGUCCAUUCAUUGUAUCAUUAACGCUAAGAGUCCUCAAGUUCAAGUUCAGAGUGAGAGGAAUCAGUAUAUGGGGGCAGAUCACAAACUUCAAGUGCUUCAUAGAAGAGGUACAAGAAGUUGCAAGAAAAGGUAUUAGAAUGAAAGGGGGAGACGGGGCCGAAACAAGAUUUUGGCUUGAUCGAUGGACCGGUGAGGAAUGUCUGAAAGAGGUUUUCCCAGAUUAUUCAUACUUUCGAAACAAAAGGAUGAUAUAAUUGAAGAAAUGGGAGAAUGGAUUAAUGGAGAGUGGAGAUGGAUUCUUCAUUGGAGAAGGAAUCUCUUUGCCUAGGAAGAUGAAUUGGUUGCGAACCUACUUGCAUUUGUGAAUCACAUAAGGCUGAAGGAAAACACAAGAGAUGUGAAAGUGUGGUCAUGCGACAAGUCAGUUUCCUUCUCGGUCUCUAACUUUGUUUUGCAGGUUACCAAGCUUAUGGAAUGUGUGAAUCCUUUGAGCGAGCAGGGGCGACUUGCAUGGAGGAACCUCGCCCCUCCAAGGGCACAACUUCAUAUGUGGUUCAUUCUUCAAGACAGGUUGAAUACCAGGGAGAGACUUUUCAGAUAUAGAGUUAACAACGUCAAAGAUGAUCGUUGCGCUUUAUGCAAGGAUGAAGCGGAAACCAUUGAGCACCUUUUUCUUCAGUUGUAAGAUCAGUAGCAUCUUUUGGUUUUUUUUGCUGCGAAAGGUAGAAUUUAUCCAUUUGUCUACCCAAGGAACCAAGAAUGUGCUAUCUUUCUUGGAUGGGGCUCCAUUCCAGCAGUUUGAUAAGAAAUUGUGGGUGUCAAUGUUCUUUGUUGUCUCGUGGUCUAUUUGGGAUAUAAGAAAAAAGGUUGUGUUUCAUGAUUUCAAGCCUAAUUGGGAUUUCGAGAAGAAGAGGCUCUUAUGGCGGCUUGGUCUGUGGGUACGCGGAUGGUGUUGGGACUUCCCAUUCUCUCCAGAACAUGUAAUGGAUAAUUUACACAGCAUUAGAGGAUGGGUUGAACCGAAGAGUGCACGGAAAAAGAAUCUCAUUUUCUCACAGAGAGUGGCACAGAGUGGAUUGGGCAUAGAGAGCUAGACUACGAUGUCCACUUGGGGCUGUGAAUGUAACAUUGGAGAAGAUGGUGGUUUUUGUGACUGCAGCUUGAAAGAAGGCUUGGAUUUUGUAAAGGAAGCCAUUGGAAGAACCGGAUACAACGAGAAAAUAAAGAUAGCAAUUGGUGAAUUUUGCAAAGGUACCAAGUAUGAUUUGGAUCACAAAACAUCAAAUAGAUCUGCUCAAAACUUUAAAUCAGGGGAGGACGUGAAAAUGACAACUAUGAAAGAACUUCUCAAAAUGAAAAAAUGAGUAAACUAUAAAGGAACGGAUCAUACUCCUCAAUCUUCGUCAAUCUUGGGAGGCAAGUAGAAGUGUAUGUAGCCCAUCUCUGCAAUCUUAUACUCGACCACCAAUGGAAGGUCCUCGGACAAACUUAAAGUGAGAGUG